UACGUAGGGUGCGAGCGUUAAUCGGAAUUACUGGGCGUAAAGCGUGCGCAGGCGGUAAUGCAAGACAGAUGUGAAAAUCCCCGGGCUUAACCUGGGAACUGCAUUUGUGACUGCAUUGCUGGAGUGCGGCAGAGGGGGAUGGAAUUCCGCGUGUAGCAGUGAAAUGCGUAGAUAUGCGGAGGAACACCGAUGGCGAAGGCAAUCCCCUGGGCCUGCACUGACGCUCAUGCACGAAAGCGUGGGGAGCAAACAGGA
rnacentral:rRNA from 1 species